UACGGAGGGUGCGAGCGUUGUUCGGAAUCACUGGGCGUAAAGGGCGUGUAGGCGGUUCGCUAAGUCUGAUGUGAAAGCCCGGGGCUCACCCCCGGAAGUGCAUUGGAAACUGGCGGACUCGAGUCCCGGAGAGGAGGGUGGAAUUCCUGGUGUAGCGGUGAAAUGCGUAGAUAUCAGGAGGAACACCGGUGGCGAAGGCGGCCCUCUGGACGGUGACUGACACUAAGACGCGAAAGCGUGGGGAGCAAACAGG
rnacentral:rRNA from 1 species